GAUGAACGCUAGCGGCAGGCCUAAUACAUGCAAGUCGAGGGGUAUAGAUGGGUUUACUCGUCUAGAGACCGGCGCACGGGUGCGUAACACGUAUGCAACCUACCCUUUACUGGGGCAUAGCUCAGAGAAAUCUGAAUUAAUCCCCCAUAAUAUUAUUGGAUGGCAUCAUUUGAUAAUUAAAGCUGAGGCGGUAAAGGAUGGGCAUGCGUUGCAUUAGCUAGUUGGUGAGGUAAUGGCUCACCAAGGCUAC
rnacentral:rRNA from 1 species